UACAGAGGUCUCAAGCGUUGUUCGGAUUCAUUGGGCGUAAAGGGUGUGUAGGUGGCGCCGUAAGUCGGGUGUGAAAUUUCGGAGCUUAACUCCGAAACUGCAUUUGAUACUGCGGUGCUCGAGGACUGGAGAGGAGACUGGAAUUUACGGUGUAGCAGUGAAAUGCGUAGAGAUCGUAAGGAAGACCAGUGGCGAAGGCGGGUCUCUGGACAGUUCCUGACACUGAGGCACGAAGGCCAGGGGAGCAAACGGG
rnacentral:rRNA from 1 species